rnacentral:rRNA from 1 species
GUAGGGACCAAGCGUUGUUCGGAUUUACUGGGCGUAAAGGGCGCGUAGGCGGCAUAUUAAGUCAGCUGUGAAAUCUCCGAGCUUAACUCGGAACUGUCAGCUGAUACUGAUGUGCUAGAGUGCAGAAGGGGCAAUCGGAAUUCUUGGUGUAGCGGUGAAAUGCGUAGAUAUCAAGAGGAACACCUGAGGUGAAGACGGGUUGCUGGGCUGACACUGACGCUGAUAGCGCGAAAGCCAGGGGAGCAAACGGGAUUAGAUACCCCGGUAGUCCUGGCCCUAAACGAUGAAUACUUGGUGUCUGGAGUUAUUAGUGCUCCGGGUGCCGUCGCUAACGUUUUUAGUAUUCCGCCUGGGGAGUACGCUCGCAAGAGUG